UAGCUGCUUUUGGAGCUCUCUUUAAGCGUGCUUUUGCUCAUAACACUCAUUACGUGGAUCGAUGCAAAGGGGUUGGACUUGUCAUCGGACAUGGCAUCUCUCACGGAUACUCACCGGGGGUCCUUCUCAGAAUCCUGCAGCGGGUCAGGGAGCAGUUGAGUGGGGUCUCUCCUCCGCAAGGUAUUGCUUACAAUGGGCUCCAAUCUACUGCCACUCUCGGGAGUUUGAGUGGAACGAUCGAGCGUCGUGCUGGCCGUGGGCUGGCCUUCGAGCGGAGGAGCACACUCCUCAAUUUGCUGCGUAACGACAAAGACGGCGUGCCCUUUAUCAACCAACCAGGUGUUU
rnacentral:lncRNA from 1 species